GGUUAGUAGAUGAUGGGGGGGGUCCCGGGUCUAAGCCCAGACCUGGGUCUAAGCCCAGACCUGGGUCUAAGCCCAGAGCCGGUCUGCUGGCGUCUGACGGUCAGAACCCCGGUCUCGCCAUUGGAGCUCUGCGAACACUGAACCUCCCCGCGGUUCGCUUAUCCAUGCGCUGUUGUUCUAUAUUUAACGUACUGUCUGAGCAUAGCCGCCCACGUCUUCUUGGUUAUGAUCUGAACGGGUUGAACCGAGAACCUGGUCAGACAUCAAUGAUUCAGGGCCCGGAAACGAUACGCUAAGAGGGGUAGGGCUGGGGAGUCGGACCGGCCGGCGUGAUACCCACCGGGACCUCUCACUGUAUGAACUACCAGACCUGUGUUGGUUCAAUAAUUCACAACCAGGAAACCUUGAGCGGAAACUGGCUGAGAUUUAAAGUAAAUUAUUAUCAAAUCGGACGCCCACUCUGGGUUAAAUAUAAUUUUUUCGAAUUAGGCCAACACAAAUUUACCAUUUCUUGAAGAUACAAACUAAAUGAUAAUAUUUAAUAUAAUAUAUACUGUAUAUAUAGUUUGUAUUUAAAAUAUUGAAUCCAAACCAAUGCAACCUCCCUGUUAAACUAAGCCAUAGCUACGCCCCAACUCGUCACUGAGUAGGGGGAACGCUAAAGCUAGUAGGGUUAACACUAGAGCUAGCAGGGCUAACACUAGAGCUAGCAGGGCUAACGCUAGAGAUAGCAGGGUGAAUGUUAGAUAAGGUAGGCUCGAUGCUAUCAGGCAGGGUGGAUGUGUUAGCAGGGUGGAUGUGUAGAGCUAGCAGGGUGGAUGUGUAGAGCUAGCGGGGUGGAUGUGUUAGCAGGGUGGAUGUGUAGAGCU
ensembl:lncRNA